GGUCACUGCUCCUGGCCCAGGCUCUAAUUCUUAUACCUUAUAUAAAAAUAAACUCAAAAUGGAUCACAGACUUAAAUAUAAAAUGUAAAACUGUAAUACUUUUAGAAAAAAAUAAGAGAAAAUCUUCAGAAUCUAGGGCUAGGCAAGGAAUUCUUAGAUUUGAUACUAAAAGCACAUUUUUGGGAGGAAAAUUGAUAAAUUGGACUUCAUCUAAAUUAAAACUGUUGUUCUGCCAAUGACAUUAAGAAGAUAAAAAGACAAGCUCAGAGUGGGAGAAAAUAUUCUACGAAGGACUAGCAUCCAGACUAUAAAAACAACUCUGAAAACUCAAUACUCAGAAAGAACAAUUCACUGAAAACAUGGAGCUGGGCACAAUGGCUUAUGCCUAUAAUCCUAGCACUUUGGGAGGCUAAGGCAGGAGGAUUGCUUGAGGCCAGGAGUUUAAGAGUAGCUUGGGCAACAAAGUAAGACCCUGUCCCUACAAAAAUAAAAAAAUUAGCCAGGCAUGGUGGUGCACACCUGUAGUCCUAGCUACUCGGGAAGGAUAUGCUUCUUGAGCCCAGGAGGUCAAGGCUGCAGUGAGCCAUGAUCAUACCACAGCACUUCCGCCUGAACAACAGAGCAAGACUCUGUCUCAAAAAAAAAAAAAAAAAAAAAGAACAUGGGCAAAAGACAUGAGGAGACAUUUUACCAAAAAAGAUGUACAGGUGGAAAAUAAGCACAAGAAAAGAUGCUCAACAGCCUUAACUAUUAGUGAAAUGCCAAUUAAAAUCACAAUCAGAAUGGCUAAAAUUAAUAUUGACAACAACAAAUGUUGACAAGGAUGGGGACAAACUGGAUCCACUCAUUCAUUGUUGGUGAAAUUUAAAAUGUUAUAGCCACUUUAGAAAACAGUUUGUCAGUUUUCUAUAAAACUAAAUAUGCAACUACCUUACAACUCAGUAAUUGGACUCCUGGGUAUUGAUCCUAGAAAUGAAGACUUAUGUACAAAAAUCUGUACAUACAUAUUUACAGCAGUUUUAUUAGUAAAUAGCUAAAAACUUGAAACAACCCAGGUGAACGCCAAUGGUCAUCAUUUAACCUUUGGAGGUCAUCUGGUUUGUUUCAAGUUAAUACAUUCAUACUAUGGAAUUCUACUUAGCAAUAGAAAGAGAACUAUUGUACACAAAGCCACCUGGAUUUAUCACCAGAAAAUUAAAUUCUAAAAGGUUAUAUAUUGUAUGAUUCCAUUCAUGUAACAUCCUGUGCUGAUAAAAUUAUAGAAAUGGACAGACUAAUGAUUGUGAAGGAAACCAAAAUAUUUCUCUCCCAAAUAUUGAGGAUUGUUACAUUAAAGGCAUUGAAAGUGCCAGAGAACACUCUGCCUCAGCCUCUGUUUGCCUGAUGGUGAGACAUAUAUCCUUCCUUACUGGAGACAGCACUUACGUAUUGGCACAGAGGAGGGACCAGCAGACACCAGAGGAAUCUGGGAACAGAUUUUACUGUCUUCCCACAUUUUCCCACCUUUUAAAACCCCAGAACUCCAGCAUGGACAACAGAGCGGGACCUCGUCUCUACAAAAAAAAAAAAAAAAA
rnacentral:lncRNA from 1 species